rnacentral:rRNA from 1 species
UACAGAGGGUGCAAGCGUUAAUCGGAAUUACUGGGCGUAAAGCGUGCGUAGACGGUCAUGUAAGUCGGGUGUGAAAGCCCCGGGCUCAACCUGGGAAUUGCAUACGAGACUGCAUGGCUAGGGUGCGGAAGAGGGAAGCGGAAUUUCCGGUGUAGCGGUGAAAUGCGUAGAUAUCGGAAGGAACACCAGUGGCGAAAGCGGCUUCCUGGUCCAGCACCGACGUUCAGGCACGAAAGCGUGGGGAGCAAACAGG